rnacentral:rRNA from 1 species
UCAUACGACCAUAGACUUAAGAGAACUAGGCAUCCUGUCUACUCUACCAUACAUAAGCUUAAGAUCGGCGGAUUAGUAGUUAGGUGGGUGACCACUAGCGAAUACCCACUGUUGUAUGUU